AAUGCUGUAUCGACUGUUGCAGUAAUGUACAGCUUGAUAAGAAGUGAGACGUCGAGGAGGGGGCAAGAAGCUUCUUGCUUUUAUGGCUCGUGUGAUUUGUUUUAAUUUUGAAAGUUCUUUUUAUGGCAACAGGUACAGUUAAGUGGUUCAAUGAUUCCAAAGGUUUUGGCUUCAUCACUCCAGAUGAUGGCGGCGAAGAUUUGUUUGCUCAUUUCUCCGCAAUCAACAUGAACGGUUUCAAGACCCUCAAAGAAGGUCAAAAAGUUCAAUUCGAAGUCACGCAAGGCCCUAAAGGCAAGCAAGCUUCCAACAUCCAAGCAGCCUAAGCAUCGCCGGCCCUCAGAUGUGAAAAACCCCGUUUUCGAACGGGGUUUUUUUU
rnacentral:sRNA from 1 species